UCAGAUUGAACGCCGGCGGCAUGCCUUACACAUGCAAGUCGAACGGUAACAGGUCUUUGGAUGCUGACGAGUGGCGAACGGGUGAGUAAUACAUCGGAACGUGCCUAGUAGUGGGGGAUAACUACUCGAAAGAGUGGCUAAUACCGCAUGAGAUCUCCGGAUGAAAGCAGGGGAUCGUAAGACUUAACUAUUAGAGCGGCCGAUGGCAGAUUAGGUAGAACUUCACAGCUUACCAAGCCGACGAUCUGUAGCUGGUCUGAGAG
rnacentral:rRNA from 1 species